rnacentral:rRNA from 1 species
UACAGAGGGUGCAAGCGUUAAUCGGAAUUACUGGGCGUAAAGGGCGCGUAGGUGGUUGAUUAAGUCAGAUGUGAAAACCCCGGGCUUAACUUGGGAAUUGCAUUUGAAACUGAUUGACUAGAGUUUGGGAGAGGGAAGUGGAAUUUCCGGUGUAGCGGUGAAAUGCGUAGAUAUCGGAAGGAACAUCAGUGGCGAAGGCGACUUCCUGGCCCGAUACUGACACUGAGGCGCGAAAGCGUGGGGAGCGAACAAGG